UUUUGGGAAGCGUUAUCUUCUGAACGAACGCGUCAAUACUGCAUCAUUUUGGGAAGCGCUAUCUACCAGAACAAACACCCCAAAACUACAUCGUUUUGGCCUGAACGGACACACCUUUUUCAGUAAGCCUAAAACUAGGUUGUUUUUUGUUCUGUUAAGACUAAAACUACGUCGCUUUUUUUCCCGAACGAACUUACCUUUCUGUUAAGGCCUAAAACCAUGUCAUUUUGGAUAAAUAGUAUUUUUUUUCAAGGGGUCGUGUCCCUUCUGAUGGGUCACUAAAUAGACAAAGG
rnacentral:lncRNA from 1 species